CCCGCUGAACUUAAGCAUAUCAAUAAGCGGAGGAAAAGAAACUAACAAGGAUUCCCCUAGUAACGGCGAGUGAAGAGGGAAGAGCUCAAAUUUUGAAUCUGGCGCCUUUGGUGUCCGAGUUGUAAUCUAGAGAAGUGUUUUCCGUGGCGGACCGUGCACAAGUCUCCUGGAAUGGAGCGUCAUAGAGGGUGAGAAUCCCGUAUAUGGCACGGACUCCCGUCGCUCUGUGAUACACUCUCAAAGAGUCGAGUUGUUUGGGAAUGCAGCUCAAAAUGGGUGGUAAAUUCCAUCUAAAGCUAAAUAUUGGCGAGAGACCGAUAGCGAACAAGUACCGUGAGGGAAAGAUGAAAAGAACUUUGGAAAGAGAGUUAAACAGUACGUGAAAUUGUUGAAAGGGAAACGCUUGAAGUCAGUCACGUUGGCCAGAAAUCAACUUGUAACAGGGCGCAAUUUCUGGUUUUACGGGUCAACAUCAAUUUUGAUUGUUGGAUAAAAGUCAAUAUUUAUGCGUUUUCGGACGUGUAGCCUUUGAUUGCAUACAAUGGUUGGGAUUGAGGAACUCAGCACGCCGCAAGGCCGGGUAACUUGUUACCACGUAACGUGCUUAGGAUGUUGGCAUAAUGGCUUUAAUCGACCCGUCUUGAAACACGG
rnacentral:rRNA from 1 species